rnacentral:lncRNA from 1 species
UUUACCCUUUCAGCAAACCCCUUUUUUGAGCUCAGACGUACGAUCCCAAAAAUCAUCUCCGGGAAAGAAGAUGGCGGGGCUACUAGCAUGGGCGGCGGACGUGGUGGGAGGCAAUGGCGGAGGGAGGACCGACGAAGAAAACUACCCAGAUUCUAUUCCACUAAUCUUCACCCCCGAACAACAGACAUACGUUCAAGAACUGGAUCGGAAGGCUGCUUCUUUAAAUCGUUCGAUCCAAGAUCUACGGCAGAGAUUGCCUCCUCCGGACAUCUCGCAACGCCUGCCACACCUCCACGCGCACUCUCUGGCCUCCAAUGCCGCCCUCGCUCUCCAACUUAAUGCCCACUCCACUACUAAACAACAGGUCCUUCCUUCAACCCUCCUGAUUUUAUUACAAAAAAAAUAGUCUCAUUCCUCUGGGUAUUGGUGUAUUUAAUAAAAUUUCGUUCCUAUAGAUUUGUGAGAAUUUUGGCGUGGAUGGUUCUUACUUCUUACAAUUUCCUAACACGACGUAGUAGUUAGAGAUAACCCUAAGGUUUUGGGAAAUUGAUCUUUUUCUUGUGUUGGUGCUUGUAUUUCCACAAUUCUAAAGUACGUUUCAAAUUGAAAAUCAACUUAAUCAGGGGCAGAAAAGGUGAAAAUCAAAAGAAUUUAAAUAAUUCGAGAAGGUAUCGAAGCUCGUAGCAUAAUGCCAAGUAUUGCAAUGCAGUAAUUUUCUGCAUAUUCAAAACUGUGAUUCACGAACUUCUUUUUGUGGUUUGGUUUCUUUUUCCAUUUUUUCUCCCUCACUACUUAAUGAAAUAAUUCAUUAUUGUACAAUGGGAUUUUUCUUCGGAAUACCCUCCUUAAGUUACUUUUUGGUUCGUGGAUGUGCAAAACUGAUUGUUAGUUAUAAUUAUUCUCUCAGGUACAGCAAAGAGAAGUUAGGUUGCAGGAAGAAAACACUGAGUAUGAAAAUGCUAUAUCCAGUUGUGAAAAUAAAAUACAGGAGAAGUUGCAGGAAGCAGAUGCACUUCAAAGUAAAUUGAAGGUUAGAGGUGUUUCCAAAGCUUUACAGAUUUUGCGAGUUUUCAGAAAUAUUGUUUUUCCUUUUAGUUGCUCUACUGAUUCACCACUAUCUGUAACAGUGUGUAGUGUAAAAUACUUCUUUUCUGCAUAAUCAAUCUCUACUUUGUUAUCUGUACAAGUUCUCAUAAGCUCUUUCAAAAGCAAAAUUUGAAGUAAUUCCAUGACGAAAAGAAGAUAAACUCCUAUAUAAUGUGGAUGUAUAUUUCUUGUCAUUUUAUAUUCUGCUUCAAUUUUGCCCAUACAACUGUAACUUAGAUAUAAUAGAUGAAUAAUGUUAAUUAAAAUUUCUUCCUAACCCAUAAACUUGAUUUAAUUCUAAUAUAGUUGCUUUUAGUCUGAUUCUUGGUUCCCUUCAUCCUGCCUUUGAUGAACGAUAUUGGGACAUGAGCUAGACUGGACUUCAACUCUAUAGGGAUAAUGAUGAUCUGGUUACAUCAGCGUCAACAACUAAAUUGAGGACAGAGGCUUAGAGAGCUAUUGUUGUUGACCUUUAAUCUUUGAACUCUACAUAUUCCUAUUAGUUCCUCCACACACGAGGAUGACAUUCAAUAAAUUCACCAAUAUUUUUGUACAUGGUUUAAAAUAACCCAAUUGAGGCCCACCUUGAUGCCCACCUCAAAGGGAGGUGAACAAAGAAUGCGUCGAGGCGCUAAUUCUGAGGUAGUUUUUGGAGGUGUGCGCUACUUAAUAUUUUACGCUCUUUACUUCGCUUUAUGGACGGGCUCGCAAAAAAAUUUAAAAUUCUUAUUGACCAACUUUGGGAGUAGCCCACUAUCACUAUUAUAACAUCAAAAGGUUAUGUUUCUUAUAGACUCAAUUUGAGAGUACUCCACUACUCACUAACUAAAGGUUUCUUUUUUUGUUACUUUAUAUAUUUUUCUUUUCAUUGUUUGCAUACUUAAAUUGUUAUAUUGUGGAUUUGAAGAUUGUUUAUGGUUUAGUAUGCUCUUAUUUUGCAUUUCAAUAGUUUUAUGACUUUUAUUUGGUAUACACCUUGAGGUUUAUGCCUCAUCUCACUUAAGGUAAAAUGCCUUAUUCUCGAUUUGGCUUUUUAAGCAUUGGUUUCUAAGCAAUAGGAUUCCACUAUUACAAUUUGACCAAAUAAUUUUCAUCUCAUUACAAUCAAAAAUGUUUUGCAACUCAAGAUUUAUUCAAUCAUCACCUGGUCCGAUAUAGGACAACUGUGGGAAAAGUUGAAAUGAAGCUGUUUACAUAUGCAGUAGUAAAUAUCGUAUCAAGGUCUAAAAGAAGUGAAUAAGGCAGAUUUUGUGUUCAGAUAGUGUUCAAUUUGAUAGGUAUGAACUAUGACAUGAGAUCACAAUUUGCUUCUCAUGUUCUAGGGUUUCCCUUUGAGAGGUCAAAACUUUUGUGCUUCAAUGACUUUAGGUGGCAAAAGAGAGUGAAAGAAGAUUUGACUCUUUCAUGGUUACUGCAAAAAUAAGGUAAAUAGAACUAGAAAUGACUGCAAUAUUUUCUACUCGUCUAUCCUAGUAAAGUUUGAAUAUUUCAAUCAUCAGGUGAUUUCUAUUCACAUUUAGAACUUCACUUCCUUGUUUGACCACAAUACUGUUACAUAUGUGGCUUGCCUAUGCCACUUGCCACAUGGAAAUGCCAAAAACAGUAUUGUCUUGUGGUGUGUGAAAAAUUGCUUAGGUUCACAUCUUCUAGAGUUCUCAGUGAUUUUAUUAUAAUAUGCUAUGGGAGGUUUUUCACCACACUUUUUCUGUUGUAAUAUUAGUUAUCAUUUGCUGUCAACAUGAUUAUAUUUGUUUUGCUUUCUAAUUCUAACUACUACCAGAAAUGACUCGCUGCUACAAAGGCCCUACAUGAGAUACUUAUAUCCUUUUCGAGUUAACAUUAACAUUACCUGACAGUCAGCAUUUUUAAAAAAGAAUGGAAGUUGUUAUAUUAAUUUACCCAUGGCCUUACUUUAUGAUUCCUCUUUAUUUCUUCAUCUGAGUGUAGAAAAAAAUCAUUUCAUAUUUUUUGCAAACGGUGCAUUAUUUGUGUAUUAAUAUGUGGUCCUAUUUCUUGUAUUAUCUAUCUGAUAAGUUAUUUUCUUGCUAUUGACGCAGCUAAGAGGAAGUAAAUCACUACAUUAGUUGUUUCUGGUAAUUUUCAUUUUUUAUAGGAUUUUUUUUUUCUUCCCUCUAGGAUUCUAUGAUAAUAAACAAGUUGCUUUUGAUAAUUUUCUUUAUUUAGGAUUCUACUUUUUCAUUUUAGGAUCAGAUUAGGCUACAUUUUGAAUUGUAUAAAUGGUACCACUAUGGUCUUUUAGAAGGGUGAAUUAUUGAAUAAAAAAUUAAGUUUUUUUAUUUCUGGCUUCUCAUUGUUCUACAUGAAUGAACGAGUUAAAAUUCUUGGUAUUCUGUGUGAAUCAAUGAGUUUUUUUUUGCCUAUUUCUUGAAAUUUACGAGCUCCUUCAUAUGCGCUUAAAUGAUUUCCCUGCUUCAUACACCCAUGCAUUUACACUAGUUUAUAGCAAAUAAAAAUGAAAAAAACAACCUAAGUUAACUCCAGAUUGUCUUGUUAUAGAGCAUGACCAUGCUGGUGAGUCAAGACAAUGUGUGGAUCCAGAUAUUAUGCAAAUCUACAUUUUCACGUCUUUGUGAUUGAAAACUUUCUAAUUAAAGUCAACUUGUAGUUGUUUUGGCCUUAUGAUUUAUCUUUAAAUUAGUUACUUUAUCCUAAAAUUUCUUCAUUAUCAAAUUUAUAUGUUAAUAGUUUAUGUCUUCCAGGAAAUGGACUUGAUUGAAGAGAACUUAAUAGCAGAGCUGGAACAAGCAAAAGUUGUAGUGACUGCAAGUCGGCCUGGUGAAUCAAAUGAACUGUUUAUUGAAUCCAAAUCAGUCAUUGAAUCUCUAGACGACGCAGAAGCUCCUAGACUAUCAUUGUUGGAGAAGUUAGAGAUGAAGAAAAAAGAACUGGUCCGUUGAGUGAUUCAUUGUCAUAUUCACCAUAUAUGUAUGAAGUGAAUUUAAACUGAUGGAUAUUUUGUUUCUUCUUAGGCUUUGAUGGAAGAAAUUGUUCAAGACAUGGAGAAAAAGUGGGCGGAGGUUCAAGCUAAUGCAUUGAAGCAACCAACUCCUGGUAUAAUUUUUCAUCUUUUAUGUAGCAUGGAAUGUGGAUUGCAAGUAUUCAAUUCCUAGCAUGUAGCAUGCUAAAUUGACGAGCAUAUAUCUGCUUUUGACAUGCCCCAUUUACUUCCAUUUUUAAGUUGGAAUCUUAGCACGUAUCACUUUUGAUAUAUUCGGCGUGCUUUAAAUUUGAUGCAAUUCCAUGCAGCUCAGCGAGAGAAGGCUUUGGAUAAACAGCUUCACAGCCUAAUUGAACAACUUGCAGCAAAGCAGGUUAGAAUUUUUUAUUUUAUCUAAAUAUAAAUGAUGUAAUAAGCUUUUCUUUUGGCAACUCCUGUAAUGAUGUUAUCAAUUUGUGUUCUUUAAAGUGACAUCUGGUAGAAAAUUAAAUUACUAUACUAGUUUCUCUUUUUCUUCUUUGCAUUUCAGGCUCAAGCAGAAGGCCUUAUCAGUGAAAUUCAUCUGAGGGAGAUUGAGUUUGAAAGAUUAAAUGGACUGUGGAAAAGAAUCCAGACGCGUAACACAGAUCUGAAUACAGCAAGGAAUAGGUUUGGAAUAAGCAGCUCUGACAGUGGACCUGUUUCUUCUAAUUACACUGUUGAUCCUGACCACAAGCUUCCUUUCCAUAUAGCUGGUCGAAAUGACAGUUUGCAGAGGUUGAUGCUACUCAGGUCGGCUUUUGUGCUUUACAUUUUAGCUCUGCAUGUAUUGGUAUUCAUUAAAAUUUCAUUCUAAAUGCCCCCCCUCAUACCAAAUUUCUCUUUAUUGUUGGUCUCAUUUCUGGUUUUGAUGUCAAUACAUUCUUAUGUAUAUAUUCUACUCCUGAUUGUACAAAAACUCAUGGCGUGCUUAGUCAAACUAUUGGCUCAAUUUAACAAAGGGGAUGAAACUUUUCUUUUGAUGUGCACUCUAGCUAUAUAAUUAUUUUUCCCUCGUCUUUCUCACCCUUGCAAUUUUAUGAUUCUGCUACUAUGUUAAGUUACUUGGCAAUUGGCAUUAGAAACCUGGUUUCGUUGCAAAACAUAAGAGUGGGAUAAAGGAAAAAAUGGCCAAGCAGAACUGCAGAACAAUAAGAUGGAGCAAGUUUGAAAUAUGAUGGCUUGAAGGUUCUUUUGUCCCACCUUUGUGGCCUUUUUAUCCUUUUGUUAAUGUCCAUCAAUUCUUCUUUGAGCACUCUCAUAACCUACAUCCUCUCUCUCUCUCUCUCUCUCUCUCUCUCUCUCUCUCUCUCUCUCUCUCUCUCUCUCGUGGUUCAGGGGGUGGGGUUGUUGAUAAGUUCAUGACUUUUAUCUGAUCGGGAUCAACAACUCUAGGCGCUCUUUUCUCAAGUAGUACCACUUGAAUCGAAUUCAAAUGCGAAAAGGAAGAUUUUAUGGCAGCUGGAUAAUCCUACAUAGAUUCAAGUGUGGAAAUUAAUCUUAAAUUAUUUUGUUCAUAAUUCAUAUGAUAUGUCAUGUUCCUUUGCUAAUGCAUGUUGAUCUAAUACCACUUGAGGGAUUGAUUGGUCUCUGUUUGAUAUGGAAUUAUAGGCUCUAAGCUGAAUGAAGUUACUUCUGACAAUUGUAAUAGCUGUAAUUACAUACUUUUUGGUGGUAGGGAAAAUAGUUAUCUUUAGGUCUCUUUUGUCUCCUCUUGUGGUAUCAUAAACAUUAACUUCAAGAAUGUUGUACAAUCACAAGAGCAUAAUGCAACUUAUUGCUUGAUGUAGCAGCAUUGAGGCUUUUGAAGUUACUGCGAUGUAUGGUUUUCAUUCUUGAGAUCGUCACUGUAGAGAUGAAUAUCAGGCUCUUUUCUCUGUGUGCGUCAUAAAUGCCCUUAUAAUUUUCUCACUCAUUUUUCUUUAGCUUUUUGCCGGCCAAAUUUGGCUCUUCCGUAUGUAAGAUAUGUAGUAAAAAUUCAUUCCAAGUGUCAACAGGGCCUGGCAAACACCAGUGGACACAGUCAGCCAGUGUCUUAUUCUCUUGUGGCCAGUGCCCGUAGUGGUUGGGAUGCCCAUCUGGCCUCAGAACCAUGGCUCGAGUAGUAUCUAACAAUCUGAACCUCAAGCCCUUCUUUUCCCCUUCUUUUUGGACUUCCUUAAACUCUUCCACCUGAGUCAUGUAAAGAUCCAAGACAUACUUCUCUAACUUCAUUUCCUGCUUUUUAAAUGGUUUUGUUCUCUCACAACUUCCUCCUUUGUCCCAGUCCCCAUUCUCAAAGUGUGCUGGAGAGAAUGUUCUUAGAAACACAAGUUUGUUAUUAUAGUUUUCGAGGCUCAGAAAUGUCCUGAAAGCUGUCCGGAAAGCCAUUUUGUAUCCGUAGGAAGUUGAAAAGUUUCUGAUAUUUCUCUCGCUGCACAUAUGGCAUCCAACAAUUUGACCUUUUUCAUAGCCGAUAAAUGGUCGGAAAAACCAUUGGGAUGCCGAGAUUGUAAAAAUAUCAACAUUUUCAGUCUGCUUUGCCCAGGCUUCAUCAGCCUCAUCAAGAUAAAGCUUCAGAUGACUUGCAUUAUAGCCCUCAGGACCAUAAUCUUGUGUUCUAACCAGGUGAGGAGACCAGAAUGCAGCUAAUGUGAAGUUGUACUCAGUAUAGAGCCACCGCCUGAAUCUUGUGUCUGUCGUGGUGGAAACAUCCACAGGGUUGGCUGCCUAGGAUCUCAGGAAUUAGGCAGAGAACAAAUACUGAAAUUGCAGUCAUAGCCAAGAUAUGCGUGUAGGUUCAAGCAACUACACAUAUACAUGUAUAGAUUCUACACUCACUAAAAAAUAUGUGUAUGCUUGUGUUUGUGUAUAUGUACAUGUAUACUGAUUUUUGUAGAUAAAGGACUUACACUAGCUAAGAGGCACACCAAGGACUGCAUUUGAUUUCUUGCCAGGGAGUCGCCAACAAAAGCCAAUGUCUUACCUCUGACAAGUUCCAAGAACCUCUUGGCAUCGAAGAGAGGUAACUCGCAUUCACUUGGCUUCCACCUCCAUUUCAUGAAGUCGGAAUCUGGUCUACCAAAUUUCAUACAGUUCUGUCUAUCAUCUAUCGCACAUUUAGUUUCAUUAGUGUAAUAGGGUCCCUCUGGAAAUGGAAUCCAGUCUCCUUGGAAUAUAUUACAUUUCUGUUCUGAGGUUACUGAUGAUGAAUCGUUACUGGAAGGAUGAAGGGCUGUGGCUGUAGUGCUAUUCAUGUUCAGGGACACCGAAUCAUUGGACCUCAUGUCUAGAUCACUCAUUCGGGAUGAUAAAUUGUGUGGUAAGUAGAAAUAGAGAGCAGUGAUAAGAACCAACCCUAGGAUUGGGAAGAAUAAGCUCUUGAACAAAAUGUCCUUCCCACUGGGAAGUAGUUCUUCUUUACUCUUCAUUUUGAACUCUGGUGUUUAGUUUGGAAUUGCCAUCUUUUUAUCUUUAUAUAUUCGUACCUUACAAAAGAAGGCAAAAACACCUCCAUUAUGAAGAUUCUCUAAAUUAUUUCUGUAUUUUUGUUGCUUAUACGACAUUACACAUUUGUGUACAUGUAGCUUUGACUAUGUGAUGGUGUAUUUUUCCUUUUUUACAAUAUUUUAUUACUCAAUAUUUUUAUAUGAA